GAUGAACGCUGGCGGCGUGCCUAAUACAUGCAAGUCGAGCGAACAGAUGAGGAGCUUGCUCCUCUGACGUUAGCGGCGGACGGGUGAGUAACACGUGGAUAACCUACCUAUAAGACUGGGAUAACUUCGGGAAACCGGAGCUAAUACCGGAUAAUAUAUUGAACCGCAUGGUUCAAUAGUGAAAGACGGUUUUGCUGUCACUUAUAGAUGGAUCCGCGCCGCAUUAGCUAGUUGGUAAGGUAACGGCUUACCAAGGCAACGAUGCGUAGCCGACCUGAGAGGGUGAUCGGCCACACUGGAACUGAGACACGGUCCAGACUCCUACGGGAGGCAGCAGUAGGGAAUCUUCCGCAAUGGGCGAAAGCCUGACGGAGCAACGCCGCGUGAGUGAUGGAGGUCUUCGGAUCGUAAAACUCUGUUAUUAGGGAAGAACAAAUGUGUAAGUAACUAUGCACGUCUUGACGGUACCUAAUCAGAAAGCCACGGCUAACUACGUG
rnacentral:rRNA from 1 species